rnacentral:tRNA from 1 species
GAUAGCUCAGUUGGUUAGAUUGUGGCGCUGAUAACGCCAAGGUUGCAGGUUCGAUUCCUGCAUUGCA